UGACCGCCUGGUUGGGGGUGGGGGGCAGAGCCCUGGGGGCUAAGGCUGUGCGGCCUGAGCAUUCCUCGGCCCAGGGCGACCCCGGGUCCCGGGAUCGAGUCCUGCCCCGCCCUCCCCGCGGGGAGCCCGCUGCCCCCUCCCCGGGUGUCUGCCUCUCUCUGGGGGCCCCGUGAGUACACAAAUCACAUCUUUAAAGUAAAAUAUGUAAAAUAAAGAUCCGUGGAGGAUGGAGACCGCCCGAAGCCACAAGCCGGCAGCGGGUCCGGUGCAGCCUCCUGGGGGCCGCUGGGGGGCGUGGCCGGGGGGGCGCGAGUGCGAGGCCGCGGGGCCCGGGGGGGGGGGGGGGGCACGAGCCCAGCCGGUGGUGUUCCCGGCUCCCCGGGCUGCGUGCGGCCGUUUGCGCGGCUCAUCGCGGAAGCGUCCUCGUCCUCGUCCUCGUCCUCGUCCUCGGGGAGCCUGGAAGCUCAGAAAAAAACAGGCCGCGGUAAGAGGUGCUAGGGGUCUGAAGUUAUUCCCUGCAGCACUCUUCAGGAUAGUGAAAGACUAGAAACAACCCGAACCCCCACCAGUAGGCCAUGCCCUAAGCGAGUUAUGGUGUAUGUGGGUGACAGGUGGCUGUACAACCAGGAAGGGGACGAGGACCGCCUCCCGCGCUGGUGCCAUCGUGAUCACCAGGCCACGGCGCUGAAUGCAAUGCCAGAGCGAAGAACAAGGCAUCUGGUCUGUUACCAUUUGAAAAAUAAUAAUAAAAAAAAUGGGUAAAAGUUUUUUUGCUUGAUUCCAUGGAGAAUGCCACCAAAAAGAGUCAGAAGACAUUGGCUCAGUCCAGUUGCUCGUGGGGAGAGGAAUGGAGUCCAAGGGAGUGAAAGAGCACUCCGUUCUGCCAGCCCGUCGGAGACUAUUUCAUUCUUUAACCGCCUCGCUCACAUUCUAGAACAAUACUUCAUUGCUUCAGCCUCGGGAAUGGUGUCUGAGCUGCUGAAGGUAAUGAAGACAAGUGUUCUACUUAUCCAAGAAUUGGAGCUCAUUUCUUCUUGCUUGCACGAGUAUUGCCUUGCCAGCCAGCUCACUACAAAACCACCCCACGGCAAUAAACCACGCUGCCU
rnacentral:lncRNA from 1 species